GUGGGGAAUCUUGCGCAAUGGGCGAAAGCCUGACGCAGCGACGCCGCGUGGGGGAUGAAGCCCUUCGGGGUGUAAACCCCUUUCGACCCGGACGAAUUUCCCGCAAGGGAGUUGACGGUACGGGUAUAAGAAGCCCCGGCUAACUACGUGCCAGCAGCCGCGGUAAGACGUAGGGGGCCAGCGUUGCUCGGAAUUACUGGGCGUAAAGGGUCCGUAGGCGGUGCGGCAAGUCGGGAGUGAAAUCUUGGGGCUUAACUCCAAGGCUGCUUCCGAAACUGCUGUGCUAGAGUGCGAGAGAGGCGAGUGGAAUUGCGGGUGUAGCGGUGAAAUGCGUAGAUAUCCGCAGGAACACCAGUGGCGAAAGCGGCUCGCUGGAUCGCAACUGACGCUGAGGGACGAAAGCUAGGGGAGCAAACAGGAUUAGAAACCCUAGUAGUCC
rnacentral:rRNA from 1 species